UCACUGCACCAGUAUAUUUCUUUUUGUUUGUAUCGCAACAUUGUGCACAUUUUAUCAACAUUAUUUUAAAUUGCGGAUAAAUGUAGCCUACCCUUCAUUCUCCGCACCCACACUGUGACAAAAUUCAUGAAAAGGGUCUGCAGUGCACCAAUUGUGCAAUUUAAACGUCUUGACGUUCAAAUUUUGUAGCCGUUGUUGAAGGCGGUGCUGAAAGCAAACGCUGCAGAUAACAGAGCAGGUAUCUUUUUUCCGUAGUGAGCAGCCUCUACAGUGAUUAAAACUGAUUUUCUUUUAAUUGUCGUUUAAACUUAUCGUUUAAUCCCCCUAACAAUACAUAAAAAGAGAAGCUGUGUGUUCACCUGCCAAUGGAUUAUUCAGAUCGUGGGCGCACUUGUUAAUCACAGAAAAUCAAUGAAAACAGAGGCCAAUGUUCUGACCCGUCUACUUUCAGCGCAGCAACCGCCACUGUCAGUAGGCAAGCUCAUUAGUGAAAUCAGGUGGUGUAGUGCAUGGUUGUUGUAGUAAUUACUACGGAUACUGCGGCCCGCGAGACCUGGAAUUGAGUAGCGCUGGAGCUACAGGCUCGUGUAGACGUUUGCCUAUCCGUCAGACAACAAGGUCCAUCGAAAAAAUAACGUUAUAAAUUGAAAGGAAUAGGUUGCUUAUAAGUAAGUAUAAGUAUGUUAUCGUAACAAUGAAUACCAGAGUAGCCUGCUUUAGAUCGAAGUCAAGACGUGUUUCAAGUAAAAAUAUAAGCAAAGGCAAUGGAACUUUGCUUACCAUUCACCUGUGUGUGCGGUCAUGCUUCUGUGACGUCAGACAUUGUUUCACGAGAACGGCUUAUAUAUUCACAAUCCGCACAGGAACAAUUGUAUUGCUUCGCAUACAACUCAUUUGACACAUUGAACACCCGCAAGCGAGGAGAAGCACUUUCCUCAUCUUAUCCACACGACUUGUACAAAAGGCCUUCGCAGAUGAACUGCUCCAGUUUAGCGCCUUUUGUCACAGCACAGCAGGACUCCUGCAAGUCUUUUGUAAGUUGCACUGUAGACCUAUCCUUUGUCGCACUGAAGCUUUUUCUCACAUGAUAGGCCUAUGUAUCAAACCGCGAGGAAGAGUACAUUUUCUCAAACGAAAUGGAUAAAUAAAAAUGGAACUGAGAACGACCACGGGACAGAAGCGCUAAUCGGCUCUCUUCAUUGAUGGCUAUCGAGCCUUGUCAGGGACUCGGGAUUUGAAGGUCUGAUAACCCAGUUUGGGAGGGAAAAGUCCAGGAAGAAAAACUUCUAAAGUUUUUUUUUUUAAUUCUGGGAUUGCAAAUGUGGUUGGGAGGAGAACCAGCACAUGCACAUGGGUCCCCCAGGAACCCCUGCUAUAGGUCAAACGAUGACCCCUGCUAGAGUGACCCACAUGCACCACUGAGCUUUUGAUUGGAAGCGCCUUCCAGCGUCGUCAUAAUCUAAAAGCGGCCCACGUUCCAGUAGGUCCUGCGGCGGCGGUGGCGGCUUUUUCACCCCGGACCAUCGCGGGACCGUUUAGCGCGGAGCAGAAGAACCGUGGGAGUCCGCUAACCGAUGUGCGAACGCGUUCAGCCGUGCGAAUGCAUCCGUCAUUUUAAUCCUCUUUGGUCUCCCUCGCUCAGACAAUCGCCGGCUACGUUAAACCUAGCGGGCUAGCGCGUCGCCCAUUAUCCCGGGGAGCGACCCGCAGGCGAUCCCUUAAAGUGAACGCAUGCCCUAACAGUACCGCGCGCAAGCUCUUCCUCAAAUGGUGUCAAGACCCAAGAAGACGUAGGGUGAGAGAGAAUGGUGGACUUGCCGUGUGGCACCACAGCUGUCGUGACCGAUCGGGGACUUUUCGGGACCUUCUGAUUUUUGUAACUUGUGAGGAACCGGCCACUUGUGGUCGGGGUCCUGAAGGCUGUGCGUAGGACGGGCCCACAACAGGGAAGGAAUUUGACUGAAGGGUAAAGUUCCGUGCCAACCCAGCCGCUGGGGACGCGCAAGCCAGUGCGUUCCUAGCGUCGGUCCCAAGCCCGGAUAAAUGGGGAGGGUUGCGUCAGGAAGGGCAUCCAGCGUAAAAACAUAUGCCAAAUUAAAUAUGCGGAUCUGAUCCGCUGUGGCGACCCCUAACGGGAACAGCCGAAGGAAGAAGAAGGAAGAAGGAAAGGUGAAGUUCUGUGGCAGAUUUCUCCCAGCAAAUUGUUCUCUCUCUCGCAGACUUGCAUUCAGCUGCCAGCCAGGGCACUGCAAAAUGGCGGCAUUACCUACUUGCAUCGUUGUUUGCCACAGUGGGUAUUCGGUUCUACUGUGUGAAUUAAUGUUUUUUUUUUUUUUUUUUUUUUUUUUUUUAAAUUACAAGGCAUGCAUCAAGUCAAGUGAAGCUGGUUGAUGUGACUUCAAAGUGAUCAGUAAAAAUUAAAGUAAUAUAAGUAAAUAAUAUUAUAGUAAUAUAAGUAAGUAAUAUUUUUGAAAAUAUUUUCACUGCAGCAGGUUUUUGUCAUCCAAGACACUUGCAUUAUGUCAAAAAAGUAAAAUAUUUGCAUUUCUUUUCUUCUGCCGGGUCUCAGGAGGACAUGAGAAUAGUUUAUAAAAACGUAGCGACCUCCAUUUUGUUUUGGGGAAGAAGAGACUGACGGACCGUACAGCCCUGACGGUUUGAGGCAGCUCGUUCCGUGACUGAGCUCCACCUCCACUUGCGUCCUGGUGCCCGCCGACCCCCCUGUUAAGGCCGUCCGGUUACUCCUUUUUAAAGCGUUCCAGCCGGCCCCUCCCUUUCCUGCUGCCGAGCGUCGCUCCGGCGGGUUUUGAUCGCCAUGGCGGCCACCUCCGCGCGCCCUCGCGCCGCUUCGCUCUCCUCCCCCCCUCCUCGGCGACUUUCCGCGCUCUGUCGUUCCGCUCGGUUACGCUGCUUGUCACUUCGCUACCCGCCCCCCAAGGUGUCAAACUUGUUUUCUGGUUGUCGAACCUCUCCCUCUGUUCCGUCUGCUCUCUGUCAACAAAGUUCCACUCCGCCCCCCCCC